GCGGGUGUGGUUUAAUGGUAGAACGGGAGCCUUCCAAGCUUUCGGCGUGGGUUCGAUUCCCAUCACCCGCUCCA
rnacentral:tRNA from 1 species